AUUGAACGCUGGCGGCAGGCCUAACACAUGCCAGUCGAGCGGAUGAAGGGAGCUUGCUCCUGGAUUCCGCGGCGGACGGGUGAGUAAUGCCUAGGAAUCUGCCUGGUAGUGGGGGAUAACGUCCGGAAACGGGCGCUAAUACCGCAUACGUCCUGAGGGAGAAAGUGGGGGAUCUUCGGACCUCACGCUAUCAGAUGAGCCUAGGUCGGAUUAGCUAGCUGGUGGGGUAAAGGCCUACCAAGGCGACGAUCCGUAACUGGUCUGAGAGGAUGAUCAGUCACACUGGAACUGAGACACGGUCCAGACUCCUACGGGAGGCAGCAGUGGGGAAUAUUGGACAAUGGGCGAAAGCCUGAUCCAGCCAUGCCGCGUGUGUGAAGAAGGUCUUCGGAUUGUAAAGCACUUUAAGUUGGGAGGAAGGGCAGUAAGUUAAUACCUUGCUGUUUUGACGGUACCAACAGAAUAAGCACCGGCUAACUUCGUG
rnacentral:rRNA from 1 species